rnacentral:rRNA from 1 species
AUGAGCCAGAUUCUUCCUCUCGUAGGUUUCGACAUCAACGUGCUUCUCAGAGAAGCAAAGAGCAGGUGGUUAAAGCCUUCUGAAGUCUACUAUAUCUUGUUGAAUCAUGAGCAGCUCCAGAUCACCCACGAGCCACUGAAUAAGCCACCCAGUGGUGCACUAUUCCUUUACAAUCGCCGUGUGAAUCGGUUUUUCCGCAAAGAUGGUUAUGCAUGGCGAAGGAAGAAAGACGGAAGAACUGUCGGGGAGGCUCACGAGCGAUUGAAGGUUGGAAAUAUCGAUGCUCUGAGUUGCUACUAUGCUCAUGGAGAGCAAAAUCCAUAUUUUCAGAGACGAUGUUUCUGGAUGCUGGAACCUGCAUACGACCACAUUGUGCUGGUACAAUAUAGAGAAGUAGCCGAGGGACGAUAUUAUUCAACAUUGUCAAAUGGAUCAGCGGGAUCUCUUUCGACCUUGAGUUAUCCAAAUGACAUACAUGGAAAGCACGGCUCCACAUCAGACUUUAGUGAGGGCAAUGAAUCCCACCAGAGUUCUGUAACUGAAGUAAGUUCUUAUUCUGCAAACAAAGAGUACAACCAUGACAGUGGCGUUCUACUAAGCAUACCGGAGCUUCAGCAAUCAACUGUAAUGGGGAUGCCAGAGCUUGACCAGAGUAGUCUGGAACGAAGUUCCGAAUUUUGCAUGGUAAAUAAUAAUGACUCUACAAACACAUCUGGGCUCAACCAAGCUUUGAAGAGCAUUGCUGAGCAGUUAAGUUUGGGUGAUGAUGACUACAUUUACAUAAAUCAAGCGCGUUCUUUGGACUUCACUACAAAUACUGAGGCUGCAGAUGUACAGGGAAAUCAGACAAGCAAUAGUCUAGGUGACGAUGAAGCAAAUCAAAUUCGACCAGAAGGAGCUCAUGGUGUUGGCAGGGGGAUAUCAUCAUCAUGGGAAAAUGUUCUGCAGUCCGAUUUAGGUUUGCCAGCUUCAUCUACAUACCAGUUUGGUGCCCACUAUCAGCAAAGUUCGGAAUAUCAACCACCAGGAGGCCUAGACGGCAGUAAUUUGCAGCUGCAAAUUUCUGCUGCUAAAAGAUUUCUUUUGGGAUCAGAAGACCCUAUCGACUCACCAUCUUAUAACUUCAUACCAAGAGAUGAAGGAAUCAAUGGCAUUAAUACUCUUUCAGCUCAUGACAGUAGUCUUGAAAGCUGUCUGAACCCGGAUUGGCAAAGAACAACACCUGUAACACUUCAAAGCAGUUCGUACCAAAGCAAUUCAUGUGGCUAUGAAAUAUCAGAGUUCUUCGACAAUGGUCAGUUUGAACCGUCCUCCGAAGAAGAUACAAGAUUAGCCUUGAAACAGAAGCAACAGUUUAGCAUUCGUGAGAUCUCUCCAGAAUGGGCAUUCUGCUAUGAGAUCACCAAGGUCAUCAUUACUGGAGAUUUCUUGUGUGACCCGUCGAAUAUAUGCUGGGCAGUAAUGUUCGGUGACACUGAGGUGCCUGUUGAAAUUGUUCAGCCAGGUGUUCUCCGCUGCCACACGCCACUACACAGUGCCGGAAAGCUCACACUCUGUAUUACCACUGGAAAUAGAAAAGUUUGCAGUGAAAUCAAGGACUUUGAGUUCCGUGCAAAGUCAACAGCUUCUAGUUUCACAGAUUUCGCACCGUCAUCUAUGAAGUCUACUGAAGAGUUGUCACUUCUUGCCAAGUUUGCAAGAAUACUUUUGUGUGACAACGGAUCCUCUGCAGCUUCGGGUGAUGAUCCUCAGCCUGGACAGAGUCCAAAACUUAAAAUGAAUGAGGAUAACUGGCAGCGGUUGAUUAACGAACUUGAUGUAGGAUGUGAAAAUCCACUAAGCAGGGUUGAUUGGAUCAUGGAGGAAUUGCUGAAAAGUAAAUUACAACAGUGGUUAUCAUUGAGACUCCAAGGAGAUGAUGGAACAUGUUCUCUGUCCAAAAAUGAGCAAGGUAUCAUACACUUAAUCUCUGCGCUGGGCUAUGACUGGGCACUGUCUUCAGUUCUCAGUGCUGGCGUUGGCAUAAAUUUGCGUGAUUCAAAUGGAUGGACUGCACUUCAUUGGGCUGCUUAUUAUGGAAGGGAAAAGAUGGUUGCUGCACUUCUUGCUGCUGGUGCUUCAGCUCCAGCAGUCACCGAUCCCACUGCACAAGAUCCAGUGGGCAAAUCAGCAGCUUUCCUGGCUUCUGAGCGAGGACAUGUGGGCCUUGCUGGCUAUCUUUCAGAAGUGGCGUUAACUAGCUAUCUUGCAUCGCUGACUAUAGAAGAGAGUGGUAUUUCAGAAGGAUUAGCUGCAAUUAAAGCAGAGCGAGCAGUAGAGAGCAUAUCUCAGAGAAGUGCCCAACUUCAUGGGGGCACAGAAGAUGAACUCUCACUGAAAGACUCUUUGGCGGCCGUGAGAAAUGCAGCUCAAGCAGCGGCUCGGAUUCAGAAUGCCUUCCGUGCCUUUUCUUUCAGGAGGAGACAACACAAGGACGCUCGACUUAAGGAUGAAUAUGGGAUGACACAAGAAGAUAUAGAUGAACUUGCAGCUGCAUCAAGGUUAUACUACCAACAUCAUGUUUCGAACGGUCAGUUUUGUGAUAAAGCAGCUGUUUCAAUUCAGAAGAAAUACAGAGGUUGGAAAGGGCGCAAGAAUUUUCUCCAGAUGCGCAGAAAUGUAGUUAAAAUACAGGCUCAUGUAAGAGGUCACCAAGUGAGAAAGAAAUACAAGACAUUUGUAAGCACUGUUAGUGUGCUAGAGAAAGUAAUACUAAGGUGGCGCCGGAAAGGACAUGGGCUACGUGGCUUCCGAGCCGAACAAUCAGUGAUGAUUGAAGCAGAAGAGGGAGAGGAGGAAGACGAUGAUGACUUCGAAGAUGAUGAAGCAGUCAAGAUCUUCCGUCGGCAGAAGGUUGAUGAAUCUGUGAAGGAGUCUGUGUCAAGAGUGUUGUCCAUGGUAGACUCUCCUGAAGCAAGGAUGCAGUAUCGUCGAAUGCUCGAGGAAUUUCGCCAGGCAACUGCUGAAUUGGGUGCGUCUGAUAAGGCAACAUCAUCGAUACUUGACAACGACUUACUGGUAGAAAUCAACAAGUUCACAUGCUGA